AUUGAACGCUAGCGGGAUGCUUUACACAUGCAAGUCGAACGAGUGGCGGACGGGUGUGAUAUAUAUCGGAACGUGUCCUGUAGCGGGGGAUAACUUGUCGAAAGUGUCGCUUAUCCCGUAUACUCUUGGAGCGGCCGAUAUCGGAUUAGCUAGUUGGUGGGGUAAAGUCGCACCAAGGCGACGAACCGUAGCUGGUUUGAGAGGACGACCAGCCACACUGGGACUGAGACACGGCCCAGACUCCUACGGGAGGCAGCAGUGGGGAAUUUUGGACAAUGGGCGAAACCCUGAUCCAGCCAUCCCGCGUGUAUGAGAAGGCCUUCGGGUUGUAAAGUACUUUUGGCAGAGAAGCGGUAUCUGCAGAAUAAGCACCGGCUAACUCCGUGCCAGCAGCCGCGGUAAUAC
rnacentral:rRNA from 1 species